AUGCGUCCUGUCACCUGCUCAGUUCUUGUGCUCCUCCUAAUGCUCAGGAGGAGCAAUGGCGAUGGAGACUCCGUGACCCAGACAGAAGGCCUGGUCACUCUCACAGAAGGGUUGCCUGUGAUGCUGAACUGCACCUAUCAGACUAUUUACUCAAAUCCUUUCCUUUUCUGGUAUGUGCAACAUCUCAAUGAAUCCCCUCGGCUACUCCUGAAGAGCUUCACAGACAACAAGAGGACCGAGCACCAAGGGUUCCACGCCACUCUCCAUAAGAGCAGCAGCUCCUUCCAUCUGCAGAAGUCCUCAGCGCAGCUGUCAGACUCUGCCCUGUACUACUGUGCUCUGAGUGA